rnacentral:rRNA from 1 species
AUUAGACGAAUCAUCUGGAAAGAUGAAUCAAAGAAGGUAAUAAUCCUGUAGUCGAAAAUGUUGUCUCUCUUGAGUGGAUCCUGAGUACGACGGAGCACGUGAAAUUCCGUCGGAAUCUGGGAGGACCAUCUCCUAAGGCUAAAUACUCUCUAGUGACCGAUAGUGAACCAGUACCGUGAGGGAAAGGUGAAAAGCACCCCGGAAGGGGAGUGAAAUAGAACCUGAAACCGUGUGCUUACAAGUAGUCAGAGCCCGUUAAUGGGUGAUGGCGUGCCUUUUGUAGAAUGAACCGGCGAGUUACGAUUUGAUGCAAGGUUAAGCAGUAAAUGUGGAGCCGUAGCGAAAGCGAGUCUGAAUAGGGCGUUUAGUAUUUGGUCGUAGACCCGAAACCAGGUGAUCUACCCUUGGUCAGGUUGAAGUUCAGGUAACACUGAAUGGAGGACCGAACCGACUUACGUUGAAAAGUGAGCGGAUGAACUGAGGGUAGCGGAGAAAUUCCAAUCGAACCUGGAGAUAGCUGGUUCUCUCCGAAAUAGCUUUAGGGCUAGCCUCAAGUGAUGAUUAUUGGAGGUAGAGCACUGUUUGGACGAGGGGCCCCUCUCGGGUUACCGAAUUCAGACAAACUCCGAAUGCCAAUUAAUUUAACUUGGGAGUCAGAACAUGGGUGAUAAGGUCCGUGUUCGAAAGGGAAACAGCCCAGACCACCAGCUAAGGUCCCAAAAUAUAUGUUAAGUGGAAAAGGAUGUGGCGUUGCCCAGACAACUAGGAUGUUGGCUUAGAAGCAGCCAUCAUUUAAAGAGUGCGUAAUAGCUCACUAGUCGAGUGACACUGCGCCGAAAAUGUACCGGGGCUAAACAUAUUACCGAAGCUGUGGAUUGUCC